AGUGGAAUUGCUGGGUCAUACAGUAAUGUUUAACCUUUUGAAGAACUGCCAGACUGUUUUUCAAGUGGCUGUACCGUUUUACAUUCCCACCAGCAGU
rnacentral:pre_miRNA from 1 species